rnacentral:rRNA from 1 species
GAUCGACAGCUAUACAUGCAAGUCGAACGGUGUCUUCGGACAUAGUGGCGCACGGGUGCGUAACACGUAUGCAACCUACCUUACAUUGGGGGAUAGCCUUUCGAAAGGGAGAUUAAUACCGCAUAAGACAGUAGCUGGGCAUCCAGCAGCUGUUAAAGAUUUAUCGAUGUAAGAUGGGCAUGCGUCCAAUUAGUUAGUUGGCGAGGUAAUGGCUCACCAAGACUUUGAUUGGUAGGGGAACUGAGAGGUCAAUCCCCCACACUGGCACUGAGAUACGGGCCAGACUCCUACGGGAGGCAGCAGUAGGGAAUAUUGGGCAAUGGACGCAAGUCUGACCCAGCCAUGCCGCGUGCAGGAUGAGGGCGUUAUGCGUUGUAAACUGCUUUUAUACAGGAAGAAACGACUCUUGCGAGAGGCAUUGACGGUACUGUAUGAAUAAGCACCGGCUAACUCCGUGCCAGCAGCCGCGGUAAUACGGAGGGUGCAAGCGUUGUCCGGAUUUAUUGGGUUUAAAGGGUGCGCAGGUGGUUUAUUAAGUCAGUGGUGAAAGACGGUCGCUCAACGAUUGCAGUGCCAUUGAAACUGGUAGACUUGAGUAAAGUAGAGGUGGGCGGAAUUGAUAGUGUAGCGGUGAAAUGCAUAGAUAUUAUCAAGAACUCCAAUUGCGUAGGCAGCUCACUUGGCUUUUACUGACACUCAUGCACGAAAGUGUGGGUAUCAAACAGGAUUAGAUACCCUGGUAGUCCACACUGUAAACGAUGAUAACUAGGUGUCGGCCGAAUCUGG